rnacentral:rRNA from 1 species
AUGCAAGAGACCAAGAUAGACGCGUGGUCACCAACCAUGGUCCGUGAAAUUGGUGGCCAAACGCUGCAGGGCUGCGCCCACAUGCCCGCCAUCGGCACCCGCGGUGGCAUUGCCAUUUUAUGGAACAGAGAUCUUGUAGAUGCUGUCACACACGCUGUUGGCCAAUUUGCAGUCACGAUCAAGGUCACCGUAGCUAGAUGUCACACUUCUUUCUGGCUAACCACGGUCUACGGACCGACCGACGACGCGAGCAAGGAGGCUUUUCUCCUGGAGAUUUCGAGCACGGCGCCGCCUGCGUCUGAACCUUGGAUAAUCUGUGGUGACUUCAAUCAAAUCUACGAGGCGAGAAAGAAGAAUAAUCCCAACCUCAAUAGGAGGCUGAUGGGCCGUUUCAGGGCGUCCAUUGACAGAGCGGGGCUUCGUUAG